rnacentral:rRNA from 1 species
AACGAACGCUGGCGGCAUGCCUAACACAUGCAAGUCGAACGAGACCUUCGGGUCUAGUGGCGCACGGGUGCGUAACGCGUGGGAACCUGCCUUUAGGUUCGGAAUAACUCAGAGAAAUUUGAGCUAAUACCGGAUAAUGUCUUCGGACCAAAGAUUUAUCGCCUUUAGAUGGGCCCGCGUUGGAUUAGCUAGUUGGUGGGGUAAAGGCCUACCAAGGCGACGAUCCAUAGCUGGUCUGAGAGGAUGAUCAGCCACACUGGGACUGAGACACGGCCCAGACUCCUACGGGAGGCAGCAGUGGGGAAUAUUGGACAAUGGGCGAAAGCCUGAUCCAGCAAUGCCGCGUGAGU